GGAUGUGAGGGUGAUCUGGAUGCUACAUCUGUCACCCCAUUGAUAGCCAGGGUUGAUUCAGCUGAUCUGGCUGGCCAGGAAGGUGUUCCUUUUCUCCUGCACUGCUCCAUGUGCGUCCCUCCCAAAACUGAGAGCUCAGUCAAAGAACACGACCACCUGUGAUAGAGGGGGACUGUUUCCUUGGUCAAGCGUAUACGAGAAGCUGUGCUCCCCUGCUGGAACCUCCAAACAAGUUCUCUAGGUCCAAAUGCCACUGCUUAUGAAAAUACAUGGAAUUGGAGGGCAAGCG
rnacentral:snRNA from 1 species